UACGAAGGGGGCAAGCGUUGUUCGGAAUUACUGGGCGUAAAGCGCACGUAGGCGGAUUUGUAAGUCAGGGGUGAAAUCCCGGGGCUCAACCUCGGAACUGCCUUUGAUACUGCAAAUCUCGAGUCCGAUAGAGGUGGGUGGAAUUCCUAGUGUAGAGGUGAAAUUCGUAGAUAUUAGGAAGAACACCGGUGGCGAAGGCGGCCCACUGGAUCGGUACUGACGCUGAGGUGCGAAAGCGUGGGGAGCAAACAGG
rnacentral:rRNA from 1 species